rnacentral:lncRNA from 1 species
GACUUCUUGGUCAUAAACAAUUGAGCCAAUCAGAUUCUCUUUCUUGAGAGUCUGAACUAAGAGAACAGACUCCUGGGAAUGUGUCAAACUAAUGGCAGAGCAAUGUGGAAAGGGUCUUGAAAUUUGGUUUUAAAAGAAACUUUCUGAUUGAGAUAUCAAAAAUUAAAUUAAUUCUACAUAAAUAUGCAGACUUAAAUUUCUGUUGGGUUUC